GACGAGCGCUGGCGGCGUGCUUAACACAUGCAAGUCGAACGAUGAAGCCGGAGCUUGCUCUGGUGAAUUAGUGGCGAACGGGUGAGUAACACGUGAGUAACCUGCCCUUGACUCUGGGAUAACUGCGGGAAACUGUAGCUAAUACCGGAUACGACCCUCGGAGGCAUCGCCAGGGGGUGGAAAGAAUUUCGGUCAAGGAUGGACUCGCGGCCUAUCAGCUAGUUGGUGAGGUAACGGCUUACCAAGGCGACGACGGGUAGCCGGCCUGAGAGGGGAACCGGCCACACUGGGACUGAGUCACGGCCCAGACUCCUACGGGAGGCAGCAGUGGGGAAUAUCGCACAAUGGGCGCAAGCCUGAUGCGGCAGCGCCGCGUGAGGGAUGACGGCCUUCGGGUUGUAAACCUCUUUUAGUAGGGAAGAAGCGAAAGUGACGGUACCUGCAGAAAAAGCACCGGCUAACUACGUGCCAGCCGCCGCCGUAA
rnacentral:rRNA from 1 species